AUUAACAAGCUAAUGUUUUUAAGAAGUUAGAAAUUUCUUUUUUCUAUUUCAAU
rnacentral:tRNA from 1 species